CUUAGUAUUUUUAACUCUCUUUGUUUUUUGUUUUGCUGCAUUACAGAUAAAAGUUUGCGUAUAUUUUCUGGGUCGUGACUCGUGGGUAUCUUUUUGUUUUCAUCUUGUAAUAUUAUCGGAGGGAGAAUUUUGGACCGAUAAUGGGAUUUUGCUCUUUUCUUUAUGACCUAUUAUCUCGAUGCAAUUGACAUGCAGAAUAGUGGGAUUUUUUAUUUUUACUUUAGAUAACAGUGGAUAUUAGUUGUAUUGUUUGUUGAUUAAAACGCGGAUCAGUGGUCCUGAUUAGUCCUUAAUUACUUUUAAGCAAAAUCGACUUCUUAAAAAGUUUACAACAAAUGGUUUCUUCUUUUAAUGGAAGUUGUGGUAAUUAUUUUUUAUUAAUGAAAGAAAAAUAGCACCCCUCAUUAAAACGGCAGAUGAAGAAGUGGAAAAUCGCAUUUGGACUGGCGCUGGUGAUAACUGGUUGGAUCAAAUUUCCCAAACCCUACGUGCUUCAAAUAAAACCCUUAAGCCCACUUCAUGUUUUGUUUUGCUUCGUCUCCGAUUGUCCAACUCCAUACGAGCCGCCGAUCAACGCCAUCAGGCGCAUGAAUUUUUAAUUGGUGGAGCAACUGAGCUUUUAGAGGUUGUGUGCAAAUUGAAGGGUGAUUUUGGUUCUUCAACAUCGUCUCCUGGAGCUGAACAGUCACUUGUCGAACUCGGUGGCAGGCACCGUUCUAUGAGAUCACUCUGAAUUUCCAUCCGCAUGACAAUGCAAUGGAAGAUGGAGGUGCCUCUAUUAUUCAAUACUGUGAACAACGUGCAUUCCCUGGGUUUAACAACAACUUAGUCGUUAAUGAGGCCGGUGAAGAUGUGGAGGCUGAACUUUUGAAUUAGAUAAACAACGCAAGCUAGCUAGUUUACUAUGUUUCUUAUACGAUUUGUUUUCUAUCAUGUGGAAGUCUGAUCUGGGGAAGAUUUACAAUCUAAUUCCUGGUAGUAUAGAUCCUAAUCUCGAUUCUCCAACGAGUUUCUUGUGUUUAAAAUUCAACCCAGCCCUGGUUGCGCAUUUGGCUUUCAUUUGAACUCUAAGAAUCAUCUAUCUCAAAGGCAACUCAUAAUACAUUUCAGAUUUCGAAUGGAUAAGAAGCUAAAGUGUCCACUAGAAAGGCCAUCCUUUAGAAUGUUCCUUGUUGGUGAUGACUUCUCUCAGCAUCUGCUUAUACCACCUGCAUUUAUCAAGAACUUCAAUAGACGAAGACUUGGCAAAUGUACUAUGAGAGGCCCUAGUGGAAAAUGUUGGGCCGUGGAACUGGAACAGAGACAGGAUGGCUUGUUCUUCCAUAAGGGUUGGCCUGGUUUUGUGAAGGAUCAUUUUAUAGAACUUGAGGACUUUCUGAUUUUCUGUUAUGAUGGUGGCUCAGAGUUUGAUGUCACCAUCUAUGAUAAAACUUGUUGCGAGAAGAUGUAAAAGCAGCAGCCAAGAGGCCUGCAAGUGAUCAUUUGGCAGAAACAUCAACUGGGGGCCCCAUCUUGUUCAAAUCGGAGAAUGCGUUUUAUGUACGAACUUUGAAGUCCUAUAAUCUAUACGGCAUGUUGAUUCCGAAGGAUGUAGCCAUAGCUGAAGGACUUAUGAGCUAUGAAGGCAUUUUGAUCAAAGAGACUAUAAUGCUUCAAGAUCAAACGGGGAGAUCAUGCCUUACUCACCUUUAUAUCAAGCCAGAUGGUCGUUUGAUGAUGACAGAAGAAUGGACAACGUGUCGGAAGGCAAACCAGAUUUCACUUGGGGACGACAUUGUUUUUGAGUUUGGGAAGCAAGGUGUGAUACUAGUUCAUAUUUUGAGAGGAAAAGGCAAUAUAAUAGCUCUUCCGAGGUUCUUUCAGGCUCGCAGCCCGGGAAGUCAAUUUUUCACAUGCAAACAUCUACAACUUGCCACUCAUCUAUCUGUUCUGUUAAGUUUGGUUGUAUUUGUGAUUUCAAGUUCAUAAUAUUAUAAAUCCAGAACUGUCAAACGGAGAUAUUGUCAGGGGAACAGAAAACAAACGAGUUUCGUGAAAUCUGAGCACGAUGGAGAUUAUUUAUCAUGUAACUAAUGCCAGGGGCACUGCUAAUGGUAAAUCAUACUACAAUUAGCAAUC